GUAUGAAUAUGCAUGAAAAACCCUAAAAUAGAUAAAUUACUGAAAUACCUUUAAAAGUGGAAAAUUUACAGUUUUACCCCUAGGAGAUAAAUUACCAAAAUACCCCUAGGGUUAAAUUGACCUAAAUGCAUGUUUGACUGUUGUUAUUUACUGCAUGCCAUGUUGUUAUUAUCUGAUGCAUGGGACUGGGAUAUUGACGGAGGAAGUACUGAAAGUGGCUUGUCCACGCACUGGAG
rnacentral:lncRNA from 1 species